UGGGGAAUAUUGGACAAUGGGCGCAAGCCUGAUCCAGCGAUGCCGCGUGUGUGAAGAAGGCCUGCGGGUUGUAAAGCACUUUUUAGCGAGGACGAGGUUUUAGGUGGUUAAUAGGUCUCUAAGAUGACGGUACUCGCAGAAAAAGCACCGGCUAACUCUGUGCCAGCAGCCGCGGUAAUACGUAGGAUCCGAGCGUUGUCCGGAUUUACUGGGUGUAAAGGGCGUGUAGGUGGGUCUCUAAGUCGGUGGUGAAAGCCCGCAGCUCAACUGCGGAAUUGCCAUUGAUACUGGAGGUCUUGAGUACAGCAGAGGGGAAAUAGAAUUCAUGGUGUAGCGGUGAAAUGUGUAGAUAUCAUGAAGAAUACCGGUAGCGAAGGCGGUUUCCUGGUCCGUAACUGACACUGAGGCGCGAAAGCGUGGGGAGCAAACAGGAUUAGAUACCCACGUAGUCCCUGAGCGGGCUGGCAAGGCGCAU
rnacentral:rRNA from 1 species